rnacentral:rRNA from 1 species
AUUGAACGCUGGCGGCAGGCCUAACACAUGCAAGUCGAACGGUAACAGGAAACAGCUUGCUGUUUCGCUGACGAGUGGCGGACGGGUGAGUAAUGUCUGGGAAACUGCCUUAUGGAGGGGGAUAACUACUGGAAACGGUAGCUAAUACCGCAUAACGUCGCAAGACCAAAGAGGGGGACCUUCGGGCCUCUUGCCAUCGGAUGUGCCCAGAUGGGAUUAGCUAGUAGGUGGGGUAACGGCUCACCUAGGCGACGAUCCCUAGCUGGUCUGAGAGGAUGACCAGCCACACUGGAACUGAGACACGGUCCAGACUCCUACGGGAGGCAGCAGUGGGGAAUAUUGCACAAUGGGCGCAAGCCUGAUGCAGCCAUGCCGCGUGUAUGAAGAAGGCCUUCGGGUUGUAAAGUACUUUCAGCGGGGAGGAAGGGAAUAAAGUUAAUACCUUUACUCAUUGACGUUACCCGAAGAAGAAGCACCGGCUAACUCCGUG